rnacentral:misc_RNA from 1 species
UUAACUAUUGCGUUGACUCGGACGACACUGAUAACAGAAUUUAUUGAGGCCUUCGGCGGGCACGAGGAGGCUUGUUUGGGGCCUCCCGCGAGAACGUUCGACGGCCCGCCAAAGCAACGUGAGUUUGGUAUACACGGGUGAAGAGUUGGGGCGGGUUGGACCCCGUCUCUCGGUAAUGAUCCUUCCGCAGGUUCACCUACGGAAA